AUGAUGGUCUCAGUGAUUGAAGUCCUCUGUUUAAUCACAAAACAGUUAUAGAAAUGGCAGCAGCAGAGCAAGCUUCUCCUUACCAUCCUGCCAACUUGCUUCAGUCCUCACCUUUGUCUAAUACCUAUUUCACACUAGGGUCCAAUAAUGAACAGUCUUUUCUGGGAAAAU
ensembl:misc_RNA